GUGAAAUAUAAAAUGGUAUUUUUAAGACAGAUUGAUUAUAACUACACACAAUGCUUAUGUGUACAUUAGUAAAGACAGAUUAGUUUGAAUAAAAAUGGUUUAAUAUUUAUUACCUUUGGUAUAUUUAAGUUUGGAAAGAAAUCAGAAUGGAAGAGAUGUGCAGAAAGUUCUAAUACAAAAAAAAUUAUUUGCAUAAGAUAGCUGUAGUUUUCCUCAUAUAUCAGUCACCAGUAUUUUUGUUCAGUGUGCUUUUAUCUCUGCCUUUCAAAGGGGCAAAAUGGUAAGAUGCAGAAAGAAUAUAUUUACUCAUGUUUAAGAGAAAUGCUAUAGCAUAAAAUCUUUUCUCAAUUAUUGUUGAGUGCUAUUGUGGUGAUAGCAUAAUAUAGAGUAACAGGUACAAGGGAUGUUUGUUUAAACUAAGGGUAGGAGCACCUGGGUGGCUCAGUUGGUUAAGCAUCAGACUGUUGGUUUUGGCUCAGGUCAUGAUCUCGAGAUUCAUGGGUUUGAGCCCCACAUCAGGCUCCAUGCUGGCAGUGAGGAGCUUGCUUGGAAUUCUCUGUCUCCCUCUCUCUCUGCCCCACCCCUGCUCGCUAUGUCUCUCUUUCUCAAAAUAAAUAAACAUUAAAAAAAAUAAACUAGGGGCGCCUGGGUGGCUCAGUUGGUUGAGCAUCUGACUUCGGCUCAGGUCAUGAUCUCACAACUUGAGUUCGAGCCCCAUGUCAGGCUCUGUGCUGACAGUUCAGAGCCUGGAGCCUGCUUCAGAUUCUGUGUCUCCCUCUCUCUCUGACCCUUCCUCACUCACUCACUCUCUCUCUCUCUCCCCCAAAACUAAAUAAUAAAAAAAAAUUUUUAAACUUUUUUAAAAAAAGAGACAAAAAUUACAAAAAGGAACAAAUACAAAUCCUGUUGCUGAAAAGCAAAAGAACCGAAAUUCAAAAUUCACUGAAUUUUAGAGGGGUUCAACGUAAGAUUUCAAUAGGCCAAAAAAUGAAUAAAUGACCAUGAAGGUAAGUAAAUUAGGAUUAUCCAGUCUGGGGCACCUGGGUGGCUCAGUCGGCUAAGCGUCCAACUUGGGCUCAGAUCAUGAUCUCACAGCUUGUAAGUUCGAGCAAGCCUCGUGUCAGGCUGUGCUGACAGCUCAGAGCCUGGGGCCUGCUUUGGAUUCGGUGUCUCCCUCUCUCUUUGCCCCUCCCGUGCUCACACUCUGUCUCUCUCUCAAAAAUAAAUAACAGAAAAAAAAAUUUUUUAAUUAAAAAAAGAGACAAAAAUUACAAAAAGGAACCAAAUAACAAAUCCUGUUGCUGACAAGCACAAUAACUGAAAUUCAAAAUUCACUGAAUUUUAGAGGGGUUCAACAUAAGAUUUCAAUAGGCCAAAAAAAGAAAAAAUGACCAUGAAGAUAUGUAAAUUAAGAUUAUCCAGUCUGGGGCACCUGGGUGGCUCAGUCGGUUAAGUGUCUGACUUCAGCUCAGGUUAUGAUCUCAGUUCCUGAGUUCAAGCCCCACAUCAGACUCUGUGCUGACCACUCAGAGCCUAGAGCUUGCAUUGGAUUCUGUGUCUCCCUUUCUCUCUGCCCCUCCCCCCACUGACUCGCGCAUUUGCUCUCUCUCAAAAAUAAACACUUAAAAAAAAAAAAAAAAAAAAA